rnacentral:rRNA from 1 species
UGCUAAUCUGCGAUAAGCGUCGGUGAGGUGAUAUGAACCGUUAUAACCGGCGAUUUCCGAAUGGGGAAACCCAGUGUGUUUCGACACACUAUCAUUAACUGAAUCCAUAGGUUAAUGAGGCGAACCGGGGGAACUGAAACAUCUAAGUACCCCGAGGAAAAGAAAUCAACCGAGAUUCCCCCAGUAGCGGCGAGCGAACGGGGAGGAGCCCAGAGCCUGAAUCAGUGUGUGUGUUAGUGGAAGCGUCUGGAAAGGCGUGCGAUACAGGGUGACAGCCCCGUACACAAAAAUGCACAUACUGUGAGCUCGAUGAGUAGGGCGGGACACGUGGUAUCCUGUCUGAAUAUGGGGGGACCAUCCUCCAAGGCUAAAUACUCCUGACUGACCGAUAGUGAACCAGUACCGUGAGGGAAAGGCGAAAAGAACCCCGGCGAGGGGAGUGAAAAAGAACCUGAAACCGUGUACGUACAAGCAGUGGGAGCCUCUUAAUGGGGUGACUGCGUACCUUUUGUAUAAUGGGUCAGCGACUUAUAUUCUGUAGCAAGGUUAACCGAAUAGGGGAGCCGAAGGGAAACCGAGUCUUAACUGGGCGUUAAGUUGCAGGGUAUAGACCCGAAACCCGGUGAUCUAGCCAUGGGCAGGUUGAAGGUUGGGUAACACUAACUGGAGGACCGAACCGACUAAUGUUGAAAAAUUAGCGGAUGACUUGUGGCUGGGGGUGAAAGGCCAAUCAAACCGGGAGAUAGCUGGUUCUCCCCGAAAGCUAUUUAGGUAGCGCCUCGUGAAUUCAUCUCCGGGGGUAGAGCACUGUUUCGGCAAGGGGGUCAUCCCGACUUACCAACCCGAUGCAAACUGCGAAUACCGGAGAAUGUUAUCACGGGAGACACACGGCGGGUGCUAACGUCCGUCGUGAAGAGGGAAACAACCCAGACCGCCAGCUAAGGUCCCAAAGUCAUGGUUAAGUGGGAAACGAUGUGGGAAGGCCCAGACAGCCAGGAUGUUGGCUUAGAAGCAGCCAUCAUUUAAAGAAAGCGUAAUAGCUCACUGGUCGAGUCGGCCUGCGCGGAAGAUGUAACGGGGCUAAACCAUGCACCGAAGCUGCGGCAGCGACACUAUGUGUUGUUGGGUAGGGGAGCG